AUAUUCCACAUUACCGUCUUCCAAAUAUAACACGGACUUCCCUAGAGAAACUCUCAUAGGAAUAAAAGGAGAACUAAUAAAAGUAAUGCUUAGUAAAAUUAUUGUUGGCAGUGCUUUUCUCUAAACUCACAGGACCACCCUCAAAACAAAUGGCAAGCAGCAAGAGUCCGUCCCUGUGGAAGGAGAAAUUAGCUGCUAACCAGAGUCCCUGGGAAGUGAUCUUGCUGGGCUACAAAUGUGCAGAAUUGGUCUAGUUAAAUGGUCAUUCUCUAUCUCAUUUGAAAAAAAAACUUUUUAAAAAAGAAUCAGGGAUAAUAGCACUGGCUUGCGGCUUUCACAGUAAGUGGUUAACUAUAGAGAUGGAAGAAUGAUGAGAACCACAGAAUCAGCUGCAAGGUUGGGUCUAGGGAUUCGAUUUUAGACUUACUCUGGGAAAUCCGAGCAUCAUAAAUUCUAGAUACUAAAAGAGUUGGGAAGGCCUGAAACUUUCAGUUCUGUCGUUUCUUUUCCAGUUUUCCCUUUUGCCUGUCUUCCCCAUCCCUAUCUUUCUCUCAAUGUAAGGAAUAUCUCACAGAGUGUUGGUCUGGGAGGAGUUGCUCUUCUCUGAUAAGGUUCCUUGUCUUUUGGGUAAGUUUUUAGAUGCUCUGAUUUCUUGUUUUCCUUUUUUUUCUUUUUAGGGCUGCACCUGUUGCAUAUGGAAGUUCCCAGAUUAGGGGUAAAAUCAGAGCUGCAGCUGCCGGCCUAUACCACAGCCACAGCAACGCCAGAUCCAGGCCACACCUGUGACCUACCCCACAGCUCAUGGAGUUCCCAUUGUGGCUCAGUGGUUAACGAAUCCGACUAGGAACCAUGAGGUCGUGGGUUCGAUCCCUGGCUUUGCUCAGUGGUUUAAGGAUCCCACGUUGCCGUGAGCUGUGGUGUAGGUUGCAGACGUGGCUCGGAUCCUGCAUUGCUGUGGCUCUGGUGUAGGCCAGCGGCUAUGGCUCUGAUUCGACCCCUAGCCUGGGAACCUCCAUAUGCCGCGGGAGCAGCCCAAGAAAUGGCAAAAAGACAAGAAAAAAAACAUGUGAAGGAUAUUUGUGAGUGUGUGUGGGGGGCACUGGAGGACACAGUAAACACAUUUAGAAAAUUUCAUAAAAAUGUGAACAAUUACAAAAGGGAUAGUGGGAGUUAGAAUAAAAAGGAGAAGACUGAUUUAAGGGAUAUUUUAGUGGAGAACUGUUAGGGCUUAUUGACUCUCUGGAUGUGGAAAAUGAAGGAAAGGAAAGUGUUAAUCAUGCUUGAUUGCUACGUGGAUCCCAUUCACUAGAAAAAGCGUACCAGUCAGAGAUGGUAAGUCAUGACGCAUUAACAAACACUCCAAAUCACAGAGACUUAACCCCGCAAAUGUCUAUUUCUUGUGUAGGCAGUUUGGCAGGGGGAUUUGUGCAUCAUAGUUACUCAGACUCAGAUUGAGUGGGGUUACUAUGACGCUCAUAUCUCAACAUUCCUCUGCUAAGUACUGUCAGAACGUGGAGAAUCACACACCAGCUCUUGUGUUUUCAUGGAAGCGAUAGACGUCCAUUAAUCUGUUUAUAACUUUGUAGCACAGCCAUACUUAUCGUUAGUGAGUAGGGACUUGUGACCUUCUCCAUGCAUAGAACCACAAGAGAACAAGAUACUGGUGACUAUGAGUGGUACCCAGCACCACAGGAGGAAUAGGAGAAGCAGACAAAUGUGAUGGUGAUAGCAGAGAUGGGAAAGAUGGUGGAGGUUGGUAUACUGAGGGCUGGGGCAGCGUGUGGAGGUAAUGAGUUCAUUGUACAUGGUGAAUUGGGAUUCACUUGAGACACAAUAAGUUACAGCAUCCAGAUAAAAAUAUAUGUGGCACGAUAUAGCUUAGGAAAGAGAGCUAGUGGGAGAUCAUGAUUUUGAGUUGUUAGAUAUUAUAGUACUUAAAGUUGCAGGAUUAUCUGGAAACUUACAGGGUGGACAGAAGUAUGUCAAGGGUAAAAGGAGACAGAACAGGAAUAAGGCUUUGGAAAACUCCAACAUUUCAGGUGCAAAUAGCUAGAGAAAAAAGCAGAAAAAGAUUGAGCAUCAAUAGCGAUACGGAAAAUAUAAAAUACAUGAUGCCAAAUUUAAAAAAUAAGAACGUAGAGGUAUGCACAUUUUCCAUCUUUGCUUGGGUAAAAAUAAAGGAUUAAACUAUAAUUUUGCUGCAUGUGAUGUCCAGCAAGCACGUUGCACCUGGGUACAUGCAGUUCCACUGAGGUAACCUUGAAACAAUUCUGUCUGCCAAUCCGUCAGCAGUAGAACAGAACUAAAAAGAAUUAAAUAGCUCACACAGUGAGGGAAGAAAUCUAGUUAAGCUGGGUUUCUAAGUGAUCCCUGUCUGACAUACCUCAAACUUGGGAAGUCUUUGGCUUUCACGGUGUGGAGACAGAAGACUAAAGAACAGCUUGUCUUUUUGGUGUAAUGAUUACAGAAACUACAAGAGAAGUGAACUUUCAAAGUUAAGCUUGUGAGAGCCUCCAAAAACGAUCCUUGCUGUUAUCAAAAAGCAGCUACUUUGCCUGGCUGAGAGCCCAGCACCAGAAGUGGUCAUACAGUCUAGUAGGAUAAGCCAAAGUUCUGUGAUUUAUUUUUAUUUAUUUAUUUAGUCUUUUUAGGGCUGCAUUUGUGGUAUAUGUAAGUUCCCAGACUAGGGGUCAAAUCAAAGCAGUAGCUGCCAGCCUACAUCACAGUCACAGCAACACUGGAUCUGAGCCAUAUCUGCGACUUACACCACAGCUCACGGCAGCAUUGGAUCCUUAACCCACUGAGCGAAGCCAGGGAUAAGACCAUGUCCUCAUGUAUACUAGUUGGAUUUGUUACAACUGAACCAUGAUGGGAACUCCCAAAGGUCUGUGAUUUAAAUGAAGAUGAAGGUUCUCAGAGCUGGGAACCUAGAAAAAAUUGAAUCAUAAGAUCAACCGAUUGUGUUUGUGAUUCCUGGACUGAGACUUUAUUUUGAAGAGGUUAUUCACUGCGCAACAGGUAAACCUAAAGGAUUCUUGGAUAACUGGUCCAAGGCAAGAUCCUUUGGUGACUCCACCCAAAAACUCCCUCUCUUGGUCCUGGGAGAGGAAGACCUUCUAUUUGCUUGUUGGGAAUGGCUGUUAGUUUUGUAGAUAUAAUCUUAGUAUUGUAAAAUCGAGGAUGCACACUGCUGAAAUGAAAGAGGAGUCAUAAGGAAGGGGAGAGAUGCCUGUGAGUGGUGAGCUUUCACAAAAAGCAUGGGAAGUGGAUGCUAGACAGAGCUGGGGUGAAACCUUUGGUUUUUCUUGGGGAUCAUUGAUUAUUGGUUACCUCUGUCCCAUGAAGGUCAUUCCGACAUGGGGACUAGGAACUUGGGAGAAGGCCAAGAAGAUGGAAUGCUUUGAAGCAAAGAGAGGGAGUUUUCCUCUGUUUGGAAUGUGUUGGCUUGAGGAAGAGAACAGCAGAAGGAAAAGUAUCAUCCUCCAACCAAGCAGCAUAGGCAAUGGGGAGAUUGUCUCUAGAUGGAAAAUUGGAACCAAAAGUGGAGAAGGCAAAAUUCUAACUGAAGCAGUCUUUUUAAAAAAAGUACAGUUGAUUUAACAAUAAUAGAAAAAAUAAAAAUCUUUAAAAUAUAAUUGAUUUACAGUGCUAUGCCAAUUUCUACAGCAAAGUAAUUCAGUUAUACAUAUAUACACUCCUUUUAUUAUCUCCCAAGAGAUUGGAUAUAGCUCCCUGUUCUGUACAGUAGGACCCUAUUGCUUAUCCAUUCUAAAUGUUUGCCUCUACUAAUCCCAAAAUGAACCAGUCUUAAGAACAGACUGGUGACUGGGUCCAGAGACUCAGUUUUAUUUUCAGACUUUGCUUUUCCCCAGGUCUUCAUAGAUGAAUCUAUGGUUUGUCCACAGCUAUGGUUUAAAAUUCCAGCCUGGGUUCAUACCCCAGUUAGCCAGAGACAGGAUGUGUAGCAGUAAUCUUGGACUCUUUCCCACAUGUUUCUUCUUAACCCACACACAGGAACAGAGAGUAAAGUCUGGGUCCUUGUGGCCCAGUUAUGAUGGUUGGUUUCUCAUCUUUCUCUUGGCAGUUUUGUUGCUGUCAAGAAAAUGUGCCAUCGUCUUCCUAGUUGCCAUGAACUGCUUGGUAAUAUGUUCUGGUUUCCCGAACACCUUGAAUUGCCCAGGAGAGAUAUUUAAGCUGGGACUUUGAUGCUGGUGUGUUGGAUAAUUUUUUGUUCUCUGUCUGUAUCUUUGUGGUCCAGGUCUUUGCUCUGGUCAUUGCUGCAGAAACCAGCUGCUGCAAAAAUUGACUACCAGGAUUUUGCUCCCACUGCACUGUCUACUUUUCCUUUUUACCUUGGAGAUCUUUUGCCACCACCAUGUUUAGCAUUUUUGGGGACCUGGCUGGGCCAUCCUGAUGCACAUGCAGACUUGGAAGUGUGUUAGACGUCUUUGACAGAGUUCUUUGUUAAAUUUAUGUCUUAUAUGACCUAAUAAAUCUUCAGCUGCACUGUGGAGUUCUUGCUCUUUGCCCUAGAAUUUUACUGCUACUGUUGUGCAGGA
rnacentral:lncRNA from 1 species